AUGGACUGGCCAUCACCAGGCGUGGUGCCACCAUGGAUGGAGACCAUCACACGGAUUCCUUCGCCCAGGCUCAGACUCCAACGGUCCAUCUCAGACGAGGAAAGGAUAGAUUUCCUGCCCUUCCAUGAACGAAGCAGCGGCGGCGCUAGCAAGAUCCUCUGCGUGGACGCCGAGGGGCACACCGUCCUAUACGACAUGGACGCCGGCUCCCUCCAGCCGAUUCCAUGCCUCAACAGUCCCAAGGGGAGCAGGCCCAUCGGUUUCUCCGCCACUGAUGCCGAAGCCGACGACCCCGAGCGUGCCCAUGUCUUCUACGUCAUGGGAAGGUACCCAGUCAGCUGCAAUCCCUGCAACUUCGAGGCACUCAUGUACAGCGUCCCUUCCAGUGGCGGCAGGUUGAAAGGCUGGCAUUGGCACCCGCUACCGCCACCACCCGCCUAUGUUGACGAGUGCCCUGUCCUUUGCCAUGCGCUGCUUGACAUGGAAGGUGACUCCAUCCUUGUCAUCUCCUCUGGACAAAAAAGUGUCGGCACCUACUGCUUCAACACGGCCAGUCGCAAGUUGUUUAAGGCCGGCCCCUGGAAACUGCCAUUCUACAGUCGUGCCGUGCAUGUACCAGAGCUUGACAACCUCUUGUUUGGCGUUGACACUGAUGAACACCACUUUUGUGCAAUGGAUAUCUCCCGUCUUAUCUUGAAAAGGGGUCCACCUUUGGUGCACAGUUGGCCGCACCUUGAGUAUCUGCCUCAGGACUGGGUGAUGCUAGAUUGCAGCUUCGUCUAUUUGGGAGCUGGGAGGUUUUGUAUCAGCAAAGUCUUUGAGUUUGGUUUCGACGAACGCACUGGCAACAUGACUGAAAUGGGUGUUGUGAUGUCUGGUGUGGAGGUAGUGUGUUACAAGAAGUCUGGACUCGUUAUGGUCAAUCAUAGGUCUAAAUUCUACAGUUUCAUAUGGGAUGACAUCUAG
rnacentral:rRNA from 1 species